AUUGAACGCUGGCGGCAGGCCUAACACAUGCAAGUCGAGCGAGCGGCGGACGGGUGAGUAAUGUCUGGGAAACUGCCUGAUGGAGGGGGAUAACUACUGGAAACGGUAGCUAAUACCGCAUACCAUCAGAUGUGCCCAGAUGGGAUAAGCUAGUAGGUGGGGUAACGGCUCACCAAGGCGACGAUCCCUAGCUGGUCUGGGAGGAUGACCAGCAAAACUGGAACGUAGACACGGUCAAGACGCCUACGGGAGGCAGCAGUGGGAAAUAUUGCACAAGGAGCGCAAGCCUGAUGCAGACAUGCGGGGGGUGUGAAGAGGGCCUUCGAGUUGUAAAGCACGUUCAGAGGGGAGGCGUUACCCGCAGAAGAAGCACCGGCUAACUCCGUGCCAGCAGCCGCGGGAAUAC
rnacentral:rRNA from 1 species